UAUUGUCAAAGAGGUUGCAGCCAACAUGAGUCACAUGAAUGAGUCCGCCAGGAUGUUGAAAUCAUGUAAAAGGGAAGGUUGCCGAAAGGGUUAACAGGCAAGAUAACCUUUGGGCUAGUGAUUAAGAGUUGCUAGACUGUCGCAGAAAUGCGGUGCGCUUUGAAAAGU
rfam:Leuconostoc mesenteroides subsp. mesenteroides ATCC 8293, complete genome.